GGGCUAGUACUGGUUUCGACAGGGAUUUGGAAACUGGGGAAGCGAGUCGUAUGGAAUGCGUUAAAUGCCAAUUUUAAAUUUAAACGCUGAUAAAAAAUUAGCAUUUGCUGCGUAAUUAAUUCGUAGCGAUCUGACUUUAAUGCACCUACACUUUAAUUUCAGGUUUUAUGUUUUUGUAGGAAACGACAAAUGCUUUCGCUUCAAAGCAUUUGGGCGUAUCUAGAAGCUACCUAUUUCACUUGGGUGUCUAUCUCCGUUUGAGAUGGGGAAUGUUAAUGAUAGACUACACUCGUAGAAGCACAGCGGAAGAAUUUUUGGACGUGGGUUCAACUCCCACCUAGUCCACUA
rnacentral:tmRNA from 1 species